rnacentral:rRNA from 1 species
GACAUAGGUCGCAAACGUUAUCCGGAAUUACUGGGCGUAAAGCGCGCGUAGGCGGCUUUGUAAGUUAGAGGUGAAAGCCCGGGGCUCAACCCCGGAACUGCCUUUAAGACUGCAUCGCUUGAAUCCGGGAGAGGGAUGCAGAAUUCCUGGUGUAGCGGUGAAAUGCGCAGAUAUCAGGAGGAACACCGGUGGCGAAGGCGGGUCCCUGGACAACACCUGACACUGAGGCACGAAAGCUAGGGGAGCAAACAGG